rnacentral:rRNA from 1 species
UACGUAGGGGGCGAGCGUUGUCCGGAUUUACUGGGCGUAAAGAGCUCGUAGGUGGUUUGUCGCGUUGUUCGUGAAAUCUCACGGCUUAACUGUGAGCGUGCGGGCGAUACGGGCAGACUGGAGUACUGCAGGGGAGACUGGAAUUCCUGGUGUAGCGGUGGAAUGCGCAGAUAUCAGGAGGAACACCGGUGGCGAAGGCGGGUCUCUGGGCAGUAACUGACGCUGAGGAGCGAAAGCGUGGGGAGCGAACAGG